rnacentral:rRNA from 1 species
UACGUAGGGGGCAAGCGUUGUCCGGAAUCAUUGGGCGUAAAGAGCGCGUAGGCGGCCCAGUAAGUCCGCUCUGAAAGUCAGGGGCUCAACCCCUGGAUGCGGGUGGAUACUGCUGGGCUAGAGUCCGGAAGAGGUGAGUGGAAUUCCUGGUGUAGCGGGUGAAAUGCGCAGAUAUCAGGAGGAACACCGAUGGCGAAGGCAGACUCACUGGGACGGUGA